GGAAUGUAGCUCAGUGGUAGAGCAUUUGCCUCACAUGCACAAGGCCCUGGGUGCAAUCCCCAGCACCG
rnacentral:tRNA from 1 species